UUGACCUCAAAUCGGGUGAGACUACCCGCUGAACUUAAGCAUACUA
rnacentral:rRNA from 1 species